rnacentral:rRNA from 1 species
CUUGGUCAUUUAGAGGAAGUAAAAGUCGUAACAAGGUUUCCGUAGGUGAACCUGCGGAAGGAUCAUUAUCGAAAUUAUUGGUGAGGGUUGUAGCUGGCCUUUCGAGGCAUGUGCACGCUCGAGCCCUUAAUCCACUUUACACCUGUGCACUUAAUGUAGGUCGCCCUUAAAAAAGGUGACCUAUGCCUUAUCAUCAACCCAUCGUAUGUCUCAUAGAAUGUAAUCGAUAUCCUCGCCCUGAAAAAGCGUUGAUAAACUUAUACAACUUUCAACAACGGAUCUCUUGGCUCUCGCAUCGAUGAAGAACGCAGCGAAAUGCGAUAAGUAAUGUGAAUUGCAGAUUUUCAGUGAAUCAUCGAAUCUUUGAACGCACCUUGCGCUCCUUGGUAUUCCGAGGAGCAUGCCUGUUUGAGUGUCAUUAAAUUCUCAACUCCAAGGGUUUCACGACCUUUCGGAGAUUGGACUUGGAGGUGCUGGCCGCAUAUUGGUCGGCUCCUCUCAAAUGCAUCAGCGGAAUUCAACCUUUGGCUUCCGGAUGUCAGUGUGAUAAUCAUGUUGCGCUGUCGUUUGAUCCCUCAGAGUCCGCUUAUAAUGGUCUUCGGACAAAAUCAUCAUCAAAUUUGACCUCAAAUCAGGUAGGACUACCCGCUGAACUUAAGCAUAUCAAUAAGCGGAGGA